rnacentral:rRNA from 1 species
AUGGUUAAAGAAGAAAAAGAAGAAAACAUGGGUUCUGUUGAAUUUCAAGUAUUCAGUUUCACCAAUAAGAUACGGAGACUUGCUUACGGCGGGAGUCAUUGGUUCAAAUCCAAUAGUAGGGAGGCGCUCAACACAACGAACAAGGGGCAGGGUCGGUCAAAUCGUCUGCAGGUACAUAAACUACUUGAAUCGAAGUUAUAG